UACGAAGGGGGCUAGCGUUGCUCGGAAUCACUGGGCGUAAAGCGCACGUAGGCGGUCUUUUAAGUCGGGGGUGAAAUCCUGGAGCUCAACUCCAGAACUGCCUUCGAUACUGGAAGACUCGAGUCCGGGAGAGGUGAGUGGAACUGCGAGUGUAGAGGUGAAAUUCGUAGAUAUUCGCAAGAACACCAGUGGCGAAGGCGGCUCACUGGCCCGGUACUGACGCUGAGGUGCGAAAGCGUGGGGAGCAAACAGG
rnacentral:rRNA from 1 species